GCAAGUCGAGCGAGAAUUGUUGGAAUGAUCCUUCGGGUGAGUGAAGACGAGGAAAGCGGCGGACGGGUGAGUAACGCGUGGGAAACCUGCCCUAUGUAUGGGGAUAGCCAUUGGAAACGAUGAUUAAUACCCAAUAAGACCACGAAGUCGCAUGACUUAGUGGUAAAAAUUCAGGUGACAUAGGAUGGUCCCGCGUCUGAUUAGCUAGUUGGUAGGGUAAAGGCCUACCAAGGCGACGAUAAGUAGCCGGCCUGAGAGGGUGACC
rnacentral:rRNA from 1 species